rnacentral:lncRNA from 1 species
UUUAUCUGAACUGCAAUGGCUCUUAGCAGAUGCUCUCAUGAUGAUGAUACAAAAGCUUCAUCUCUUUGUUAAUGGAACAAUAUUGGAUCAGCUGGAAGUUCGCUUUGCAACAAGAUGUUGUUGUUUCAACGAGACAAACGAGAGAAAAACGAUUGCUUUCUCGUGAACUUACUCGGAACUUCAUGCUGGGAUAUGAUUUUCACAUCAAGAGCAUCGCAUAUCCUUAAUAAAUAUUGGGAACACUAUUGGUACUUCAAAGAGAAACCGUUCAUUGAUUUGACCAUAUUGUUGCAUGGUAAUUCAGUACCAUGAACACGAAAACCAAAACUUUUAUUUCCGAACUUUAUCGUCGCAAAAGGGAAGGAUCUGAGGAUAGAAAGGUUCCGACGCUAGGGAGAAAUUUAGAUCCUAGAACAAUAAUUUCGAGAACAGAUAACGCGGGCUCAUAACUAUUACGUCAACGUAGAUUGGGUUCCUGUAAACGAGUCAGUGAUUAUCUUUGAAGGACGCCAAACACAGACGCCAAAUACCUCAACUGCCAAGGAAUAAAGCUGUCGCUAGCAUUCAUUAUAUCUCGCCAAGAAAAGUAAAACAAGCGUUUUGAGUCGUUUAAAGAGUAUAGAGAAGAGCAAUGGGUCAAUCUCAGUCUACCAGUGAUACAUCAGUUGAUGGAAUACGCCUGGUUGUCAUACACAAUCGGUCUUCAUCACCAGAUAUGAGAACCUUUUGCAACGCAGUUCAAACGAAGCCACCGCCAGGCAGUUUGGGGGAUGUUGUAGAUGACAGGUAUUAUAAUGCCCAUCUUUCCCAGUCCACAAAGAAUGAUUUUAAACAGUGGACAUCAGAAUGGACGCGUCGAGGUGGUAUCGUCCUUCUUUGCUUGUUAGCGGAUCACAAUGAUCAAGAAUUAAAUGCACAUAUCAAAGGGAACGACAGGAUCAUUGAGUUCUGCUUUCGGCAUCCUCCAGUGAAUGGCCUUAAACCAAUCAUGAUAAAUGUGGAUUUUGACACCGCAUCACGUCAGGAUUUUAUCGCCAACAUGGAUCGCCUUGCUGCAAAAAUCAGAGAACUUCGAUAAUGACAUGUCUGGAACUGAUAAACAUAAAAGGUGUUUAUCAGACAGUUUGUGGUGUCAAAAUUAACUUCAUUCAUUCAUUAUUUAUAUUCAUAGUCGUAAUUGCACGUGUAACACGUAGUUACAAACCUACAUUGUAGAACAUGUUUGUAAAAGUUUUCCUUAAUAUAUUACAUGCACUUAUCAUUAAUGCAGUUGUCUGUAGGAUUGGUUUGGUGGUAUCAUGUGCUAGUUUGUCAACAUCCAGCAACUCUAUUUGCCAUAGUCAUCAGACGGUUUUAUGAGACAGUUUGUGAUGUGGAAACUAACUUUAUUCAUUAUUUAUAUUCAUAGUCGUAAUUGCACAUGUAACACGUAGUUACAAACCUACAUUGUAGAACAUACAGUUGGUAAAACUUUUUACUUAAUAUAUUACAUGCACUUAUCAUUAAUGCAGUUGUCUGUAGGAUUGGUUUGGUGGUAUCAUGUGUUAGUUUGUCAACAUCCAGCCACUUUAUUUGUCAUAGUCACUUAGGAUGCCACACUUUGGUUACAAAUUUACCAUAUGCAAGAGACAACGAAAGAUUUGUUGCCUUGGGCACAUAGUAAACACUAA